rnacentral:rRNA from 1 species
AGGCCCCUUCCGGGGUCCGAGCGGCGAACGGGUGAGUAAGCGCUGUGAUCUGCCCUGCACUUCGGGAUAAGCCUGGGAAAAGGGGUCUAAUACCGGAUAUGACCAAAGGCUGCAUGGCUUUUGGUGGAAAGGUUUACUGGUGCAGGAUGGGCCCGCGGCCUAUCAGCUUGUUGGUGGGGUAAUGGCCUACCAAGGCGACGACGGGUAGCCGACCUGAGAGGGUGACCGGCCACACUGGGACUGAGACACGGCCCAGACUCCUACGGGAGGCAGCAGUGGGGAAUAUUGCACAAUGGGCGAAAGCCUGAUGCAGCGACGCCGCGUGAGGGAUGACGGCCUUCGGGUUGUAAACCUCUUUCAGCAGGGACGAAGCGCAAGUGACGGUACCUGCAGAAGAAGCACCGGCCAACUACGUGCCAGCAGCCGCGGUAAUACGUAGGGUGCGAGCGUUGUCCGGAAUUACUGGGCGUAAAGAGCUCGUAGGCGGUUUGUCGCGUCGUCUGUGAAAACCAGCAGCUCAACUGCUGGCUUGCAGGCGAUACGGGCAGACUUGAGUACUGCAGGGGAGACUGGAAUUCCUGGUGUAGCGGUGAAAUGCGCAGAUAUCAGGAGGAACACCGGUGGCGAAGGCGGGUCUCUGGGCAGUAACUGACGCUGAGGAGCGAAAAGCGUGGGUAGCGAACAGGAUUAGAUACCCUGGUAGUCCACGCCGUAACGGUGGGCGCUAGGUGUGGGUUUCCUUCCACGGGAUCCGUGCCGUAGCUAACGCAUUAAGCGCCCCGCCUGGGGAGUACGGCCGCAAGGCUAAAACUCAAAGGAUUUGACGGGGGCCCGCACAAGCGGCGGAGCAUGUGGAUUAAUUCGAUGCAACGCGAAGAACCUUACCUGGGUUUGACAUAUACCGGAAAGCUCGUAGAGAUACGGCCCCCCUUGUGGUCGGUUACAGUGGUGCUGGCUGUCGUCACUCGUGUCGUGAGAUGUUGGUUAAGUCCCGC